GAUAGUAUUGAUUGUUUUGUGAACCACUCAUAUUGGGAUUGCAAAUAAAAUGGGUGGUUUUCUUUGAUGGUAGAUUUUAUUCUAUUGACCUAGCAGACAAAAUGCAAGUUGUGGGAUUUAGUUUCUUGAUUGUAUGAAUUUAUUUCGUUGCCAUCAAGGAAGUGGUUUCUUACCUAAAAGAUAUAGGAGAUUCUUUGUGUAUCACCAAGCAAACCUAUUAGUAUCAAAUUG
rnacentral:lncRNA from 1 species